rnacentral:rRNA from 1 species
CUUUCCUUGAUGACGACUGGCGCACGGGUGAGUAACGCGUAUCCAACCUUCCCAUAACUACGGGAUAACCCGUUGAAAGACGGCCUAAUACCGUAUGAUAUCGUUUGCUGACAUCAAAUAACGAUUAAAGGUUUAGCGGUUAUGGAUGGGGAUGCGUCUGAUUAGCUUGUUGGCGGGGUAACGGCCCACCAAGGCUACGAUCAGUAGGGGUUCUGAGAGGAAGGUCCCCCACAUUGGAACUGAGACACGGUCCAAACUCCUACGGGAGGCAGCAGGU